GACGAACGCUGGCGGCGUGCUUAACACAUGCAAGUCGAACGGAAAGGCCCUGCUUUUGUGGGGUGCUCGAGUGGCGAACGGGUGAGUAACACGUGAGUAACCUGCCCUUGACUUUGGGAUAACUUCAGGAAACUGGGGCUAAUACCGGAUAGGAGCCCCUGCUCCAUGGUGGGGGUUGGAAAGUUUCGGCGGGGGGGGUUGGACUGGCGGGUUUUCAGCUUGUUGGUGGGGGAGUGGCUUACCAAGGCUUUGACGGGUAGCCGGCCUGGGAGGGUGACCGGGCACAUUGGGACUGAGAGACGCCCCAGACUCCUACGGUAGGCAGCAGUGGGGAAUAUUGCACAAUGGGCGGAAGCCGGAUGCAGCGACGCCGCGGGCGGGAUGACGGCUUUCGGGGUGUAAAACGCUUUCGCCUGUGACGAAGCGUGAGUGACGGUAAUGGGUAAAGAAGCACCGGCUAACUACGUG
rnacentral:rRNA from 1 species